GAUGAACGCUAGCUACAGGCUUAAUACAUGCAAGUCGAGGGACCGGCGCACGGGUGAGUAACACGUAUCCCACCUGCCCUUUCCCCGGGGAUAGCCUUUCGAAAGAAAGAUUAAUACCCGAUGUAAAGGAUGGGGAUGCGUUCCAUUAGGUUGUUGGUGAGGUAACGGCUCACCAAGCCUUCGAUGGAUAGGGGUUCUGAGAGGAAGGUCCCCCACAUUGGAACUGAGACACGGUCCAAACGCCUACGGGAGGCAGCAGUGAGGAAUAUUGGUCAAUGGGCGUUAGCCUGAACCAGCCAAGUAGCGUGAAGGAUGAAGGCUUAUGGGUCGUAAACUUUUUUUAUAUAAGAAUAUGUAUUAUAUGAAUAAGGAUCGGCUAACUCCGUGCCAGCCGCCGCGGUAAUAC
rnacentral:rRNA from 1 species